UCGAGGAUCUUCGGCAAUGGGCGCAAGCCUGACCGAGCGACGCCGCGUGCGCGAUGAAGGCCUUCGGGUUGUAAAGCGCUGUCGAGGGGGAGGAAAGCCCGCAAGGGCCUGACCUAUCCCUGGAGGAAGCACGGGCUAAGUUCGUGCCAGCAGCCGCGGUAAGACGAACCGUGCGAACGUUGUUCGGAAUCACUGGGCUUAAAGGGCGCGUAGGCGGCGCGUCAAGUCAGGGGUGAAAUCUUUCGGCUCAACCGGAAAAGUGCCUCUGAUACUGGCGCGCUCGAGGGAGGUAGGGGCAUGCGGAACUUCCGGUGGAGCGGUGAAAUGCGUUGAUAUCGGAAGGAACGCCGGUGGCGAAAGCGGCGUGCUGGACCUCUUCUGACGCUGAGGCGCGAAAGCCAGGGGAGCGAACGGGAUUAGAUACCCCCGUAGUCC
rnacentral:rRNA from 1 species